GUGCCAGCCGCCGCGGUAAUACCGGCAGCCCGAGUGAUGGCCGAUCUUAUUGGGCCUAAAGCGUCCGUAGCUGGCUGCGCAAGUCCGUCGGGAAAUCCACUCGCCCAACGAGUGGGCGUCCGACGGAAACUGCACAGCUUGGGACCGGAAGGCUCGAAGGGUACGGCCGGGGUAGGAGUGAAAUCCUGUAAUCCCGGCCGGACCACCGAUGGCGAAAGCACUUCGAGAAAACGGAUCCGACAGUGAGGGACGAAAGCUAAGAUCGCGAACCGGAUUAGAUACCCGAGUAGUCC
rnacentral:rRNA from 1 species